GCCCCGCCCUCUGUGCCGCACAGCCCCGCCCACGACACAGAGCUACGCCCACUGCCCCUCUCAGCUCCAGCCAUAAGGACCUACAGGAAGCAGGCCCUCACAAAGGGAAGUAGCAGAGAACCAGCCCAAAGCCUGGGAGGUACAGAGCAGCAGACCAGCGAUGCCCCAGGACAGGAGGAGCACUGUGCCAGGGAGGAAUCACCCAAGAAACACAAACUGGAGCCGGACCCAGUAUCACUGUUACCCAGAGCUGCAUGGAGCUGGUUUUCCAUUUAAAAAAGAGUGACCGUACCCUUUCAGCACAUUAAACAUUUUUUUAAGG